rnacentral:rRNA from 1 species
UACGUAGGGCGCAAGCGUUGUCCGGAAUUAUUGGGCGUAAAGAGCUCGUAGGCGGUCUGUUGCGUCCGCUGUGAAAACUCGGGGCUUAACCCCGAGCCUGCAGUGGAUACGGGCAGACUAGAGGUAGGUAGGGGAGAAUGGAAUUCCCGGUGUAGCGGUGAAAUGCGCAGAUAUCAGGAGGAACACCGGUGGCGAAGGCGGUUCUCUGGGCAUUACCUGACGCUGAGGAGCGAAAGUGUGGGGAGCGAACAGG